rnacentral:lncRNA from 10 species
AUUUAGUCAUUGCUUCUCAAAAAAUAGAAUAAGGCAGAAAUGCUAGGAUGUCACUUCUGAGAUUUGAUCAUAAAAAGACUAUGACUUCCAUCAGGGGUAAUCUCUUCUCUAUCUCAUAUAGCUUGUACUGGAGGGGCUAUAUCUGUGAGUCCGGAACAUCAGUGAGUUUGGAAGCACAUCUUCUGAGCCUCAUGAUAUCUAUGUAAAUGAAUUUAGAAGCAAAUCAGCUCUGAGUCGAACCCUGGGAUGCCUGCUGAUCUAGCCAAAGAUCUUGCUUAUAGUAUUACAUGAGAUUUUUUAUUCUAUUUUUAUGCAGCAACAGAUACUUAAUCCGUUGACAUAAUAAAAUGAACAGGUGUACCAAUUUGUUUAUCCAUUUACCCACUGGAGGACAUCUUUGUUGCUUUCAAGCUUUGGAAAUUAUGAAUAAAGUUGCCUUGAACGUUCUUAUGAAGGUUUUUGUGUACAUACGAUAUCACCUCAUUUGGCUAAAUACUAAGGAGCAUGACUAUUGGAUCAUAUGGCAAGAAUAUGCUUAGUUUUAUAAGAGACUACUAAACAGUCUUCUAAAGUAGCUGCAUCAUUUUGCAUGACACCACCAAUAAGUGAGAGUUUCUAUUGCUUCCCGUCCUCAUCAACAUUUGGUGUUGUCAUGCUUUGUAUUUUAGCUAUUCUAAUAGGUGUGUAGUGGUAUCUUGUUGUUUUAAUUUGCAAUGCCCUAUUGACAUGCAAUGUUGAGCAUUUUCUUCUAUGCUUAAUUGACCUUUGUGUAUCUUCUUUGGUGAGCUUUCUGUUCGGAUAUUUUGUCCCUUUUUAACCUUUUUUUACUGAUGAGUUUUAAGAGUUCCUUAUACAUUUUAGAUUCUAGUUUUUUAUCAGAUAUGUGUUUUAGAAAUAUUUUCUCCUAGUCUAAGACUUAUCUUUUCAUUCUCUUAGUAAGAUUUUUUUGGAUACAUUUUUUCCAGCUAACCAAGAAAGAAGAGAUCUAGGAACACUAAGAUAAAAAAGAAAUGGAAUACAACUUUAUGGGAGUCAGCUGUGCAGCUUAUACCAAAUGCCAAGUAAUCAGAGAAAAUAUGCAGACCCUCCAAACCAAUGGCUCUCACCCAAGCAAGUGGCUUACCCUCAAGAACACUUACUCUUCCAUUUCCCACAAGCAGCACACAAUGUCCUGAGGAAAGUUGAUAAAAACUUUUAGAGGGAAAGUGUUGGGAGUCAGGAUAUUUCAGCUGCUUUCUUCCUUAUCUACUUCCUAAUUCCUUUCAGAAAGCAAAAUAACUAUCCAAAUAAUAUAAACUGGCACUACUUGAUAUCUAGUAUCUUGAUGCACAGGAAAGCAAAGGAUGUGGGGAUGUAGAUUUCAUUUACACUUGAUUGGAUCAAAUAAGUCAGGAUAGAUCUGUGUCCACUCAAAAAUAAAUAAACAAAAAGUAAGAAAAACUUAUACAAAAUUCGUAAUUUAAUUGAUGGAGAAAAAAACACAUGGAAAACUAAUAGGAAAAGUACAUUUUAGGAAAUGACAUACCAUGAAGCAGAAGAAAAUUGUAAGGGGUUCCUUCCCACACUUAAUAUGCAUUUUCAAAAUACGAAGAGAUAAUGUGUCAAAAGAAUGUAAUAGAAAAGAAAUUAGAACUGAGAAAAAAUAAGAAAAAGAAAAAAACAGAAAGAGGGAGAGUAAUCACAAAGAUGCAAAUAACACUAUGUGCCAGGCAAUGUUUAAUUAAUUUAUAUAUUAAUAGAUUUAAUUAUUAUGAUAACAUUAUGAGUUAGCUACGUUUAUAUCUCAAUUUUACUAAUGAAUAACCUGGUUAAGUAACUUGCCAAAGGUCACUAAACUAGUAAGUCUUAAAGCUGGGAUUUGAACCCAGGCAGCAGAGUUUCAGAAUCCAUACAUUUAACUAAUAUAUCAGUAAGGUUUGCAAAGUUAUGUUAUGCUGAUGAACAGCCUUAAAAACUCAGUGGAUGCAAAAACAAAAUCUCUCUCUCUCACUCUAGUUGUCCAAAAGCAAGUCAGUAGGGAGACCCAAGUUGUCGGAGUCAAUCAGGGAUGAAGACUGAGGAAAACUUCAUCUUGAUUUGUGUUUCCAUUAUCACCCACAGCAGGUUUAGGGAACAUUCAGUGUCCUGCACUGGCAAUGAAAAGAUUCUGUCCAGAAGUAACAUUUAGAGCAUAGGCUUCCAUUUCAUUGGCCAAAGCAAACCAUACUUACUUUUGAGAAGUGGAGGUGGAGAAACACAACCUCAUAACAUGUGUGAAAGAAAUAGGAAAACUGGCAUAUUUGUAAAUAAAUCUAACGACUUCCACAACUGUUCUGCUAUAGUGCCUUUCUUAUUACCUUGCCUUUCUCUGAAGCCACUACAGAAACAUCAAAAAGAAUUAUGGAAAAGGUCUUGAGUAUACAAAGAAUGUAGAAUAAAAGACUGUGAAAUAAAGUAUUGACAGAUAUCAUACAUUAGAUGGAAAAGAGAUCUAAAAUACAGAUGAAUUGCUUAUGGUAAACUUAUAAAAGAAAUCACAAAUUAUUGAAGAUUUUUUUUAAUCUAAAGGGAUACCUGAAUCUUUCAAUUUUAAGAUCUUUAAGAUCUUCUGUGUUUCAAGAGGAAUCAUGCAGACAGGUAUUUAAUUUUAUGAUAAUUGAGGAAAAAUAAAGAAAACAUAAGAAUCAGACACAAAAAGGAAUCAGCCUACCCUGGAGCUCCCCAGCUGUGUUAGAUGGCACAAAGCUCUGAAACUGUCCACAGAGUUUGGAGGGGAAACUGACUGAAGACACCCUUCCCCACCAGUGUGCAGACUGCAUUCAAAUGUGAAGGUAACCUGAAGGCAUUCUGAGGAUACAGAGACUCAAGAAGUGCUUUACUCAUGUGACAUCUCUAAAAAUUCUACUUAAAAAUGUAAUUCUAAGUAACUCAGCAAUGAUUUUAAAUUUAAAAAAUCAGGAGUGGGUAAGUGAUGAAGUAAAAUGACUGGUGAAUUACUUAAAUGCAUAAUUACAUUAAAUAACAACAAUACUUGAUUUUAAAAACCUGAAGAUAUGGAAAUAGAAGUGAAGGAGCCAAUUAGAAUAUGGUGAGGAGGCACUUAUUGGUUGAGUGGGAUCAAGAUGGCCUCUUAUACUGAAGUCAUCACUGUGGUG